rnacentral:rRNA from 1 species
GAUGAACGCUGACAGAAUGCUUAACACAUGCAAGUCAACUGUGGCGGACGGGUGAGUAACGCGUAAAGGACUUGCCUCACAGAUAGGGACAACAUUUGGAAACGAAUGCUAAUACCUGAUACUGUGAGAGAGCUUUGCGUCCCAUUAGCUAGUUGGAGAGGUAACGGCUCACCAAGGCGAUGAUGGGUAGCCGGCCUGAGAUGGUGAUCGGCCACAAGGGGACUGAGACACGGCCCUUACUCCUACUGGAGGCAGCAGGGGGGAAUAUUGGAGAAUGGACCAAAGUCUGAUACAGCAAUUCUGUUUGCACGAUGAAGUUUUCGGAAUGAAAAGUGCUUUCAGUUGGGAAGCAGUACCAACAGAAGAAGGGACGGCUAAAUACGUGCCAGCAGCCGCGGUAAUUC